rnacentral:rRNA from 1 species
GACGAACGCUGGCGGCGUGCCUAACACAUGCAAGUCGAGCGGGGUUGAAGCGAGGGGUAACUCGAGUUUCUACCUAGCGGCGGACGGGUGAGUAACGCGUGGGCAACCUGCCUCAAGGACUGGGAUAACAGCUCGAAAGGGCUGCUAAUACCGGAUAAGCCUAUGGCCUCGCAUGGGGCCAUGAGCAAAGGGGAAACCCGCCUUGAGAUGGGCCCGCGUCCCAUCAGCUAGUUGGUGAGGUGAAGGCUCACCAAGGCGACGACGGGUAGCCGGCCUGAGAGGGUGACCGGCCACACUGGGACUGAGACACGGCCCAGACUCCUACGGGGGCAGCAGUGGGGAAUCUUGCACAAUGGGCGAAAGCCUGAUGCAGCGACGCCGCGUGAGCGAAGAAGGCCUUCGGUUGUAAAGCUCUGUCUGGAGGGACGAAGGAAGUAGACGGUACCUCCGGACGGAAGCCACGGCUAACUACGUGCCAGCAGCCGCGGUAAACAGUCUACG